UAAUAAGAUGAGAAAAGACCCUAUGAAGCUUAAAUUUAAUGGUCUAACAGCCUUAACUUCACCUACAGGGUCAAAAUUAUUGUUAACAGACUAAAAAUUUGGGUUAGGGUGACCUCGGAGUACAAAUAACCCUCCGAAUGGUAAUAAUCUAGACAUAACAUGUCAAAAUAACGACUCAUCAGUUGACCCAUACUAUUGAUCAAUGGAACAAGUUACCCUAGAGAUAACAGCGCAAUCCUACUCAAGAGUUCAUAUCGACAGCUUAGGGUUUACAACCUCAAUAUUGGGUCAGGACAUCCAAAUAGUGUAACUGCUAUUAAUGGUUCCUUUGUUCAGUGAUUAAAAUCCUCUGUGAUCUGAGUUCAGACCCGAGAAAUCCAGGUCUGUUUCUAUCUAUUA
rfam:Ictidomys tridecemlineatus contig117196, whole genome shotgun sequence.